CGAGCUAGUAGGGUCCAGCCACCCAGUCGUCAGUCGAUCGUUUCGCUGAUACGUCGCGUGGCGUUCCGUUCGCGCUGCCCUCCUGCGUGUUAUAUUUAUUCGUUUUCUGUCGAUUUUUCUCUCCGCGUGUUUAUAGUAGUUGACGACCACAGUUGAUUUCUUGCCGUCGGACGCAGUAUUUUCGGUAUUUUAUUUUUUAGAAUCGGUUAGAUUAAUUGUCAAUUUUUUUACCGAUUAAUCGCUGUUCGUUUCGAUCGCAAAAUAAAUUUGCCACAAACACAAUACCAUAACUCAUACGUCGUUCGGAUCGCGCAAUCUCGCUCUGUACCGAACAAUAUUAUUGCCCGGAGUGUUGUUUUUUUUUUUUUUGCGACCACGCACAAUAUUAUACGUAGUACCCACUUAAGUCGCGUACGCGAUUCAUUUAGAAAACAUCGACAGUAGAUAACUACAAUAUUGAUACAUAUUAUUUAUUUAAAAAUGAGGACCGGCGCCGGAGCCGUCGUUUACGCGAUAUUAUUGCUAUGUUUUGGCGGCACAUUCGCCCAGUCCACAGUUUCCAAAGACACGCCAUUGGUUUCGACCACCACCAGACGGCCAAUACCCCAUGUCGAAUGUACACUACGACAGCACACUUGCGGCAAUGGGAAAUGCGUGCCACUUGCGUGGACAUGCGACGGUGAUGACGAUUGCGGCGACAACACUGACGAGCUGCCCGACAUGUGCAAAACAGGAAAGGCAAACGUCACGUGUUCGGAAAACGAAUUUCAAUGUAGAAACGGACACUGUAUAGCGCUCCACUGGCAAUGCGAUAACGAAUCAGAUUGCAAAGACGGUAGCGACGAAGACCCCAAAAUAUGCCAGAAACGAGUAUGCAACACGGAUGAGUUCACUUGCCGAAAAGCCAAAGGCGAGUGCAUCCCGCUGACAUGGAUGUGCGACGGAAAUCCCGACUGUUCGGACGGUUCCGAUGAAAAAGAGUGCAACGAAACAUGUAGAGACGAUGAGUUUACGUGCGGCAACGGAAAGUGUAUUCAAAAGAUUUGGGUGUGCGACAGAGACGACGACUGUCAAGACGGCACGGACGAGCUCAACUGUCCCAACAUCACAUGUUCCGAGUCCGAAUUCGCUUGCGUAAAAGACAACACUUGCAUAACUUUGAACUGGCGUUGCGACGGCGACUUCGACUGUACCGACCAGACUGACGAAAUCGGUUGCGCCGAAUCUACCAGAUCGUCGCAGUGCCGUUCUUCCGAGUUUGAGUGCGACGACCAUAGCCACUGUGUCAUACAAUCGUGGGUAUGCGACGGCAGCGUAGACUGCGCCGACGGAUCCGACGAAGCGCCGCACAGGUGCCACAACACCACAUGUCGGUCCGACCAGUUCCGUUGUCGGGACAACACGUGCAUUCCUGGAUUCCUCCAUUGUUCCGGUACGCCCGACUGCGCCGACGGUAGCGACGAAGAAAACUGCAAAGAACCGGUGCACAAGUGCGACCCGUACACGGAGUUCGACUGCGGCACCGACGAGGCGGGUGGCAUAUGCAUACCCAUGGAGAAGGUGUGCGACAAGAACAUGGACUGUCCCGGGUUCGAGGACGAGGAACAGGAGUCGUGCAACGUGAACGAGUGUCUGAUCAACAAUGGAGGCUGUACGCAGAUUUGCGUCGAUUUGCCGCACACUUUCCGCUGCGCCUGCAAGCCCGGCUACAAGCUCAUCAGCAACAACACGUGUGACGACGUAAAUGAAUGCGAGAUCGAAGGCAGCUGUUCGCAGAUAUGUAUCAAUGAAAAGGGCACGUACAAAUGCGAAUGCGAACCGGGAUACCUGCGGGACCCUCAAGAUCACACCAGGUGCAAGGCGAUGGAAGGACACGCGUCACUCUUAUUCUCCAUGCAACACAACAUACGGAAGAUUUCGUUGGAUCAUCACGAGAUGUCCGCCAUCAUCAACAGCACAAAAUCGGCCACGGCCAUCGAUUUCGUAUUCCGCACCGGAAUGAUAUACUGGGGAGACGUAUCUGAAAAGAAAAUUUACAAAGCGCCGAUCGACGAAGGCCGACAGCGGACAAUCGUAGUGGAAAGCGGCUUGUCGUCGGCCGACGGUUUGGCUGUGGACUGGAUUUACGGACACAUUUAUUGGACGAACGCGGACAAGGACUCUAUCGAAUUGGCCAACUUCGAGGGAAACAUGCAGAAGACGCUUUUCAAAUCGGAACUGAAGGAACCCAGAUCGAUAGCCGUGGACCCACUCAACGGAUGGUUGUAUUGGAGUGACUGGGGCAGCAACGCGAAGAUUGAACGGGCCGGCAUGGACGGCACGCACCGCGAGGUGAUCGCCUCGUUCGAUGUGAAAUGGCCGAACGGCAUCACCCUGGACCUGGUGUCCAAGCGACUGUACUGGGUGGACGCCAAGCUCCACACCAUCUCGUCGUGCAACUUCGACGGCAGCCAACGGCGUCUGGUCCUGUUCAGCCCCGUCUGGCUACCGCACCCGUUCAGCAUAUCCACGUUCGAGGACUCGCUGUACUGGUCUGAUUGGAACCAGAAGGCGAUAAUCAAGGCCAACAAGUUUAACGGUUCCAACAUCACAACGGUCACCGCCCUGCACAUGACUCAGAACCCGAUGGUGGUGCACGUUUACCACCCGUACAGGCAACCCGACGGCGUGAACUACUGCGCCGCCGUCAACGGCCACUGUUCCCAUCUGUGCCUGCCGGCACCGCAAAUCAACAGCAAGUCGCCGAAAAUCUCGUGCGCUUGUCCCAACGGCCUGAUGCUGAUGUCCGACGGUCUGAUGUGCGCCGAAGAAGCUAAGAACUCAACGGUUUUAGCGAAACACAACAAACACAGAAUUUAUAAAAAAUUCAAUAUUACGCUAUUAAAUACGAACAGAACGAUGACGGAAAUAAACGUCAACGACCACAACGAACCUGAGGACAGCGGGCUCAUAGCUGCCAUAAUAAUAUUCUCCGGUUCGCUAUUGAUCACUCUCGCAGCCCUGGGCGCUUUCCUGUUGUACCGGCACUACUUGCACCGCAACGUGACCAGCAUGAACUUCGACAACCCCAUCUACAGGAAAACAACCGAAGACCAGUUCACGCUGGAGAAGAGUCAGUACCAGCCGGCAAGGGUAUACCCCACGUCCGUCGGCGAGGAGGUAAACUUCAACGUUAUCAUUUAAAGACCAGAAAACACCUCCCCGUCACACACGACCCAUCACCCCCUCCAACAAUGAACCCCACACAACCACUACCACCAGAAAUCCCAGCCAAGUACCUAUAUAAUAUUAUUAUGUAUUAUCGUCGAUGCAACGCCGUUAAGCUACAUUCGAUCUUUUCUGCUCUUAAUUUUUUUGCAUUUUUACACGCUGCGUGUUAGUUCUUUAACGACAACUCGGCCGAAGAGCCGUUGACUCGUCCUGGCACCAACGAGUACGUCUAAAGUAUAGACCGUUUAUAGUUUCUCUGCACACAACACUAGUCAAUGAAAAAAUAAAAAUAAACAAAUUACAAAUCGGGUUGUUCACGACGGAGCGCAAUUUGUGCGCAGCCCACGACGAAAUGUCUGGCGAGUUACCAAUUUCAUGCGCAAAUGCGCUCAAAUAGUGUUCAACUUACCGAACGACUUAUAAUAUCUUCCCCGUGUUUUUUCUUUCUUUUAUUAUUAUUUUUAUUAUUAUUAUUAAUUUUAUGUUGUAUAACUUUGUUCAGUCUUCCCAGCGUUUUUUCGUAUACAUAUAAUAAUUUAAUUAUUCCUCACGCCAAUAUUUAAACGAAACAGUUCCUAUUGUAUAUUUUUUUUAAGUUAUAUUAUUAAUGUUUGUGUAAAAAAGAAAAUAAUAAUAUUUUAUUUAAGCUAUGCGGUUUGCCUUUAACGACUGAGGUGUACGUGCCAAAAAUUAUGAAUUGAGUUGUUUUAAAUUUAUUAUUGUUUGUUGCUCAAAAGUAGGAAUCCUUUGAUCUGCAUCAGUUCGCUCGUUGUUCAAUUAUUUUAAUCGGUAAAUUAUUGUCCCUUCUGGUUUGUUUGGAAAAGUAAUAUGAUAUAAUUAUUGUAAUUAUAAGGAAUUUACAAUAUAUGUAAAUAUAUAUAUUUAUUUUAGCGCCAUUACUGUUGAGUAGUCAAUUUAGCAGCUAUUUAUAUUUAAUUAUAUAUACUAUAGUUCCGUUAUAAAUAUUAAAGAUAUUUUGUAAGCUUAACGUCUUAUUAUAUAUCAAAUAAAUCGUGUUUUUAAUUGGAUAUUAUAUAAAAAUAAUAAAUUAUAUAUGUACAUAUAAAGGAACCAGUUAUAAGCUUAGCAGAUAGUGAUAAGCGUAUUGGAUUUGUUUCAUUCGAAAACUGUAUAUUGUUUUUUCGCUAAAAAAACGCACAUUCUUCUAACGAAUGUGUACACAAACACACACUCGCGUCUCGGUUCAAAAAUAUAUGUUGUGAAAACCAAUUACCAUUUAUUUGUCAUCAAGGUUGUAAAAAUAUGAUAAACAUAAUAUGUAUGUGUAACAUUUCGUUAGAUAAAUAUAGUUUUUAUUAUUUAACUGUGAUUUUUUUGUUUUUAAAUAUAUUUAAUUAAUUAUUAUACGAUUACAUAAUAUACAUAUUAGUGAGUCCCAUUUUGUAAACUCAAACACAUAGUGAAAAGUGGUUUGUUAAUUUUUUUUUUUAAUUAAUCGAUGGAUAAACAAAAAAAAACUAAAUAAACAUGAUCGAUCAUUAUACAGCG
rnacentral:misc_RNA from 1 species